rnacentral:rRNA from 1 species
UACGAAGGGGGCUAGCGUUGCUCGGAAUCACUGGGCGUAAAGCGCACGUAGGCGGACUCUUAAGUCGGUGGUGAAAUCCUGGAGCUCAACUCCAGAACUGCCUCCGAUACUGGGAGCCUUCGAGUCCGGGAGAGGUGAGUGGAACUGCGAGUGUAGAGGUGAAAUUCGUAGAUAUUCGCAAGAACACCAGUGGCGAAGGCGGCUCACUGGCUCGGUACUGACGCUGAGGUGCGAAAGCGUGGGGAGCAAACAGG